rnacentral:rRNA from 1 species
CUGCGAGUGAUAAGUUCCGUAGUCGAUUGGGAAACAGCCCUGUCCACCAGUUUAGGUCCCCAAAUAUAUGUUAUGUGGAAAUGGAUGUGGGGUUGCUUAGUCAACCUGGAUGUUGGCUUAGAAGCAGCCACCUUUGAAUGAGUGCGUUAUAGCUCUCUGGUCGAGUGACCCCGCGCCGUAAAUGUACCGGGGCUAAAAAUAUUACCGAAACUGUGGAUGAACCUCUUUAGAGG